rnacentral:rRNA from 1 species
UGGGGAAUUUUGGACAAUGGGCGCAAGCCUGACCCAGCCAUGCCGCGUGCGGGAAGAAGGCCUUCGGGUUGUAAACCGCUUUUGUCAGGGAAGAAAUCUUCUGAGUUAAUACCUCGGGAGGAUGACGGUACCUGAAGAAUAAGCACCGGCUAACUACGUGCCAGCAGCCGCGGUAAUACGUAGGGUGCAAGCGUUAAUCGGAAUUACUGGGCGUAAAGCGUGCGCAGGCGGUUUUGUAAGACAGAGGUGAAAUCCCCGGGCUCAACCUGGGAACUGCCUUUGUGACUGCAAGGCUUGAGUGCGGCAGAGGGGGAUGGAAUUCCGCGUGUAGCAGUGAAAUGCGUAGAUAUGCGGAGGAACACCGAUGGCGAAGGCAAUCCCCUGGGCCUGCACUGACGCUCAUGCACGAAAGCGUGGGGAGCAAACAGGAUUAGAUACCCUGGUAGUCCACGCCCUAAAACGAUGUCAACUGGUUGUUGGGAAAGGUUCCUUCUCAGUAACGUAGCUAACGCGUGAAGUUGACCGCCUGGGGAGUACGGCCGCAAGGUUGAAACUUAAAUGAAUUGACGGGGUCAUAGCUGUUUCCUG